CUGAGUACGGCGGAACACGUGAAAUUCCGUCGGAAUCCGGGAGGACCAUCUCCCAAGGCUAAAUACUCCCUAGUGACCGAUAGUGAACCAGUACCGUGAGGGAAAGGUGAAAAGCACCCCGGAAGGGGAGUGAAACAGUUCCUGAAACCGUGUGCCUACAAGUAGUUAGAGCCCGUUAAUGGGUGAUAGCGUGCCUUUUGUAGAAUGAACCGGCGAGUUACGAUUUGUUGCAAGGUUAAGCGGAAAAAGCGGAGCCGUAGCGAAAGCGAGUCUGAAUAGGGCGCAUAAGUAACAGGUCGUAGACCCGAAACCAGGUGAUCUACCCAUGUCCAGGAUGAAGGUAAGGUAAUACUUACUGGAGGUCCGAACCCACGCACGUUGAAAAGUGCGGGGAUGAGGUGUGGGUAGCGGAGAAAUUCCAAUCGAACUUGGAGAUAGCUGGUUCUCUCCGAAAUAGCUUUAGGGCUAGCCUCGAGGUAAAGAGUCAUGGAGGUAGAGCACUGUUUGGACUAGGGGCCCUUCUCGGGUUACCGAAUUCAGAUAAACUCCGAAUGCCAUGUACUUAUACUCGGGAGUCAGACUGCGAGUGAUAAGAUCCGUAGUCGAAAGGGAAACAGCCCAGACCACCAGUUAAGGUCCCCAAAUAUAUGUUAAGUGGAAAAGGAUGUGGGGUUGCUUAGACAACCAGGAUGUUGGCUUAGAAGCAGCCACCAUUGAAAGAGUGCGUAAUAGCUCACUGGUCGAGUGACCCCGCGCCGAAAAUGUACCGGGGCUAAACAUAUUACCGAAACUGUGGAUGAACCUCUUUAGAGGUUCGUGGUAGGAGAGCGUUCUAAGGGCGGUGAAGUCAGACCGGAAGGACUGGUGGAGCGCUUAGAAGUGAGAAUGCCGGUAUGAGUAGCGAAAGAAGGGUGAGAAUCCCUUCCACCGAAUAUCUAAGGUUUCCUGAGGAAGGCUCGUCCGCUCAGGGUUAGUCGGGACCUAAGCCGAGGCCGAUAGGCGUAGGCGAUGGACAACAGGUAGAGAUUCCUGUACCAGUGCUAAUUGUUUAACCGAUGGGGUGACACAGAAGGAUAGGGAAUCGCACGAAUGGAAAUGUGCGUCCAAGCAGUGAGUGUGA
rnacentral:rRNA from 1 species